CCUACGGGAGGCAGCAGUGAGGAAUAUUGGUCAAUGGGCGCGAGCCUGAACCAGCCAAGUCGCGUGAGGGAAGACGGUCCUAUGGAUUGUAAACCUCUUUUGUCGGGGAGCAAAAGACGCCACGCGUGGCGUUCCGCGAUUACCCGAAGAAAAAGCAUCGGCAAACUCCGUGCCAGCAGCCGCGGUAAUACGGGGGAUGCGAGCGUUAUCCUGAUUUAUUGGGUUUAAAGGGUGCGCAGGCGGAAGAUCAAGUCAGCGGUAAAAUUGAGAGGCUCAACCUCUUCGAGCAGUUGAAACUGGUUUUCUUGAGUGAGUGAGAAGUAUGCGGAAUGCGUGGUGUAGCGGUGAAAUGCAUAGAUAUCACGCAGAACUCCGAGUGCGAAGGCAGCAUACCGGCGCUCAACUGACGCUCAUGCACGAAAGUGUGGGUAUCGAACAGGAUUAGAUACCCGGGUAGUC
rnacentral:rRNA from 1 species